AAACUUAGUGUCAACUUGCUACAUACCCCAGCCAAGUAGUUGUUUGUCGCAGUAUACACCCACUACAUACACAGGAACAGCUGUGUUUACGCCAACCUGACGCAUUAUUCUACACAAAAGAAAACAAAGUUGAAAAGUACCAGUCGUGUCGUCACAAUGCCAGGUGGUGCCUUCUGUUGUCAACCAGACGUUGGAUACUGUUCAUUAUGCCAUAAUGACUUCAUAGGCUUUCUUGAACAGGUAAACAGUUGAUCGAAAAUGACAAUGCAGUCUACUAACAGAAUGAGAGGAAGUAUAGAUGGGGGAAAACCUUGGAACAAUCUGGGAAUGGAUGGAUAAUGCCAGGAAGUUGACAGGGAAAGCGAUUAACCCAGUAUCUGACCUUCUAGGCUGGUGAAGACAUUCCCACAACUCAACUGUACAUGUGGUAACCCUUACUGCUGGUAAAGACGAAUAUGAUGUCAAAUAAAAAUUUGUUUAUAACUUAACCAGCACACCAGGCAGAAAUCCACUGCCUUAUGGUCGAUGAUGUGAAUAAGUAGGUGGAGGUUAGCUAACACAGCACUCUAUAUAUCCACAGGCUUAGCCGAGUCAAGCAGUACAUUAGAAAAGGCAAAUGACAACCACACAGGGUAUAAAUCACUAGUUAAUACCCGGCCAUUACUAGCAACAAAACCUGGGUUCGAUAUAUAGGUAGCUCUGCUAACUAGUUUCGCUAGCUGCUUAUCUACACAAAAGCUUGUUCAUAUACGUAAUUUGCCCUGGGCUACCAUUAUUAAUGAAUUAUAAAUCCAUUAUCUUAAUAGUAUAAAACUGAAUUUUAACUAGAUUAUCAGUAAAUGACUGCAAAGCAUUGGGUAAGUUGCAUUGCCUGAGAACAAAAUGUCUUUUGACAUGGGAUCCAUGUCAGGUCGAGUGACAACUGCUGGAUUUCGCACAACUCCGGCUGGAAUUGAACCAAUGACAGCCUCAUAUCAGGACAGGUGUCUAAACCUUAUGACCACAGCAAUAAUGAAAGAGAACGAUCUGGCCAACAAAGGAAUACUGUAGAUUACAAAAUCAAUGACUAAACAUGUAUAGUGAAACUUUCAUAUCAAAAUAAAGUUAUUGUCUUAAGAUGUUGAACAUAUGUAUACAAAUUGUAAUUGUGUGUGUAAAUAUGAUGACAUGUUAUAAUUUGGUUUGUUAAGGAAAUGUAUACUAAACCAUCAUAAAUAUUAUAUUAAUAAUCUUAAAAUAUAUAUCAUUUUCAUUAUAUUUCAUCAUAUCAUGUUACUUUUUGCGUAGAAAAAAAAAACCUAUUUGUAUAUAUUUUCAACAUUGCAUUUGAUUUCUAUUAGAUAAUCUAUAACUCAGCCCACCUGAAUUAAUAGAUGAAUAAAUAAAUAAAUACAUAAAAACACAAUAGGCUAUAAAGUCACUUUUAACUUCUAUAACCCCCUAAAGCAGGAGAUGAAUUAAUGGAAAUCAAUAUGGUACCUAGUUAAGGCUAUUCUUUAAAUUAUUUAUCAUAUGCUAUAUUUUAAUAAUUAUCUAUUUUCCUUUAUAUAUUAUUUUGUUAAAAGCACCAAAAGCUAUAGUUAUAUAGCAUUUUUACUUGUUUAAAAAAAAUGUACCACUAGGUAAUUAUUGAAGUUAUAUUAUGCAUUUCUGCAGCUUUUUAUGGACAGGCUCCUUGGUUAGUAUAAAUAUAAUACAUUUUAUAGGAUUAGUUAUUACAAUUAGUAUUGUUAUUACUGUUGUUAUUAUUUUCCUUUAACCUAAGUUACAGUGAAUGGAGGCUAUAGAUUGUAGGCUAUAGAAUGCAAGUCCUCAACCACUGUCAUUUAAAAAGUUGGAAAAUCUAAAAAGUCACUGGUUCGAUUUUUCUAAAUCAAUCCAUAUUUUCUUUGCUUCGUUAGUUAAUAAUACAAUCACAAAGAUGACUCAUGACUGAUUGUUUACAAAGUCAUAAACAGACAACCAAAUAGAUGGACGUCAACAUAGACAGAUUGAUAGAUUAAUGGAUGGGUGGGUGAAUGAAUGAAGUGAGAGAAUCGAUCAGUUUAAAGUUUAAAGUAGGAUCUAUACACACAAGGUGGUGAUAGGAUUAAGAUGAUGACGUAGCCCAUACUAGUUCCUUUCUUCGCAAUGUUCCUAGAACCACCUCUGACAAAAAGGUGCGAUGCAAUCAAAAAAUUUGGAAAGCGGAUCUCAUGAUAUAGUUACGUAUAGGGAUUUUGAGAAUACAUAAAACCAAUCUGUAUCUCUCGUUCUGGACACGACUCAGAGCUGCAAUUUGAAAAAUGUAGGGAGAUUAUUUAAUACUAAAGCUUUCCUAUUAAAAUUUAUGAAGCCAAACAUUGUAAUUAUUAUAA
rnacentral:lncRNA from 1 species